CGUGAGAUUCAAACAACUUCUAGUCAGGACCUCAGGGAGUUACUAUGCAGUGCCCUUCAUUUUGAAGGAAAUGGUACAAUCAAUGAUCUGUACUUCUUUCUUGGGAAAAGAAGAGAUAUUUGCACUAACAAUUAACAUUCAUCGACAAAAGACAGCUUACAGAAAAUGCUCAUGGAGUUAAAAGAAAUCAUAUUUUGUGAUUACACUGGCUGUUGUGGAUGAUUCCAUGAAGUAUUACAAUAUCAGGAAUUUCAGGUGAGCAUUGAAAGAAGGCUUCUAAUUCAACAAUAAUGCAAAAGAACCACCUAAACCACUGAUGUUUGAAGAAGCUACUCUGAUUUCUUCAUAUCCACAGUUAAAAAGAAGAGUCUGAUCUGGAGAAUCUAAGUCCAUGAUACAAUAAACCUUGCCUCAUCACCACACAUUACUUCAUAGAGUAGCCAAGUCAACAUAUAAAUAACAGUAGCUUUCUCACAAAUAGAAACUGCUGCUGGAAACGCAUUUCCUACUUUUAGUUACUCAUCUCUGAUCAGUUGUAUAAGAUUUGCUUUCAAAGGAAAUAUUUGUUCCUAAAUGGCUGUUGGAAUUACAGUUGAUGUGGUUAAUUGUCAGGAAAGCACAGGUGGCAAACGACUCAACAAGCCUCACACACCCUUUGGCGAGACCCAAAGGGAAAAAGAAAGAAAAAGAAAACCGCUGUUACAGUCAAAAU
rnacentral:lncRNA from 1 species